GACGAACGCUGGCGGCGUGCUUAACACAUGCAAGUCGAACGGAAAGGCCCUGCUUUUGUUGGGUUCUCGAGUGGCGAACGGGUGAGUAACACGUGUGUAACCUGCCCUUGACUUUGGUAUAACUUCUGGAAACUGGGGCUAAUACCUGAUAUGAUCUCCUGCUUCUUGGUUUGGGUUGGAAAGUUUCGGCGGUUGUGGAUGUACUCGCGGCUUAUCAGCUUGUUGGUGGGGUAGUGGCUUACCAAGGCUUUGACGGGUAGCCGGCCUGAGAGGGUGACCGGCCACAUGGGGACUGAGAUACGGCCCAGACUCCUACGGGAGGCAGCAGUGGGGAAUAUUGCACAAUGGGCGGAAGCCUGAUGCAGCAACGCCGCGUGCGGGAUGACGGCCUUCGGGUUGUAAACAGCUUUCGCCUGUGACGAAGCGUGAGUGACGGUAAUGGGUAAAGAAGCACCGGCUAACUACGUG
rnacentral:rRNA from 1 species